UUCGCAUCUUGUGUGACUGUGGCGUCUUUGUGUUUCAGAUAAAGGUCUGAGGACUGUGGGUGUGAGUUUAUAUACUGUGUGUCUGUGUGUGUGUCUGUGUGUGUGUGUGUGUUGUGCUUGUGUGCGUGCGUGUGUGUUAAUCUUUAAUCUGGCUCUAGAUUACAAUUUGCAGAAAGUCUGAAAUAAUGAAAUCACUGUGCGGAUGUGGCCCCUCCCCCUGAUGAUAUCACAAAUAACGAGGACAGACAGACACGCCUCUGUCUCUCUCUCUCUCUCAGUUUCGUCUUUCGUCCUCUCUCUCUGUCUCUCCAUCCCUCUCUCUCUCGUCCUCUCUCUCUUCCUCUCUCUCUCUCCAUCCCUCUCUUCCUCUCUGCGGUCGGUCGACAGCAGCAACAUGGCGACGUUCGUCUCACUGGUCACAUGUCAUCACUGUCCCGUGGUGACGUCCCGUCGUGGUCUGGUCUACAGAGACUCUCUGUCUGCUCUGUCCUGGAACCUGCGGGCCCCCGGGUGCCCCCCCCACCGGCCCAUCGGCCCCCGGCUGCGAAGUAAACACCCCUGCACAUUCACCAGGCCCAAACUCCCAGAAUCCAUUGCUCUGACUCGCUCCAAGCCGCCAUGCGGCGUGAGGCACCUGGUCCUGACUCACCUGAGGAAGCUGCUGACGCUGAGCUCCCCCCAGCAUAGAGGCCUCCCCCUGCCGGUCUGACCUAACAGCAUGAGGAUGAUGAUGAUGAUGAUGAGCUGACAGGUGCUGGACACCAGGGGGCGCCGCAGGGUCCAGAGAGCCAGGAGGAGGAGUCCGACUGAACCUGAGUCCAGAGGACAGAGCCAGAACCUCGGGCUGGUUCCAGCUCCUCUGGGGCUGCAACGUUACACUGUCCAUAUACUUUUGGCCCCAUGGUGUGUUUCAGAAAGGCGUGAACUAAACUGUAGAUUCAUUCAGUAAAUUUUCAGUUAUGUGACUGCUCUGUAAAAAGGUGUUAUUGUUUUCUAGUGUAGAUUUAAGUAAAUACAAUAAUUAUCUUGUAAUUAUUAUCGUAAUGUGUCCAAGUGUAAUAUCCAAGUCACUGGAGUUGAAACUUUAUUUAAAAAAGGUCACAAAAUCAAUUCAUAUGUUGUUGGGUUUUUUCAAUAAAAUCUUAUAAGUUAAUGCUGAAAACAUUAAAAAUGGUAAGAACAGUUUUAGAAACAGCAUCACUUAGCUUUAAUAAUUUGUAAUUUGAGGAUAAUUAGCAGUCGAACAGUUUCAUCAGCUGCUGCUUGUUUUUCAGUUUUAUUUGUUUGUGUAUAUAUAUGUAUAAUAUAUAUUGUUGUAUCGUAACUUGUAGUUUAUGGUUUACACACACAAGCGGAGCUGACGCUGGAGUUGAGGAUAGUUUUUUAGAUUAAAUAUAUUUAAGUUUUAAUAUGUUUUCACAGUCGAGCUCAGAGCUGCUGAUAGAUUUUCCCUGGCUCCGCCCCCUUUGUCGAGAUCCCCACCAACGUGUUCCAGCUGUUUCCUACUGCAUUCUGACCUAAUGCUAAGCUAGGCUAACUACCUGAGGAACACCAUCAUUGAUUGAAAAAAGAACUUAUAACUUAUUGAACUGAUAAAUCUGUUGAUUCUGUUAAAUAAAUGUAUGAAUUCA